GGGUGAGUAAUGGAUAAGUAACCUGCCCUUAAGUGGGGGAUAACACUUCGAAAGAAGUGCUAAUACCGCAUGUGGUGCUCUUUCACAAGAAGGAUCACUAAAACCGCAAGGUGCUUGAGGAGGGGCUUGUCUCCGAUUAGCUAGUUGGUGGGGUAACGGCCUACCAAGGCGAUGAUCGGUAGCUGGUCUGAGAGGAUGGUCAGCCACACUGGGACUGAGACACGGCCCAGACUCCUACGGGAGGCAGCAGCAAGGAAUCUUGGGCAAUGGGCGAAAGCCUGACCCAGCGACGCCGCGUGAGGGAUGACGGCCUUCGGGUUGUAAACCUCUUUUCUCAGGGAAGAAUAAUGACGGUACCUGAGGAAUAAGUCUCGGCUAACUACGUGCCAGCAGCCGCGGUAAUACGUAGGAGGCGAGCGUUAUCCGGAUUUAUUGGGCGUAAAGUGGGCGUAGGUGGUCUUUCAAGUCGGAUGUGAAAUCUCCCGGCUCAACUGGGAGGGGUCAUCCGAUACUGUUGGACUUGAGUACAGCAGGGGAAAAUGGAAUUCCCGGUGUAGUGGUGAAAUGCGUAGAUAUCGGGAGGAACACCAGAGGCGAAGGCGAUUUUCCAGGCUGAAACUGACACUGAGGCCCGAAAGCGUGGGGAGCGAACAGGAUUAGAUACCCUGGUAGUCCACGCCUUAAACGAUGUCAACUAGUUGUUGGG
rnacentral:rRNA from 1 species